rnacentral:rRNA from 1 species
UGCAAGUCGAACGCGAAAGGGACUCGGUCCUGAGUAAAGUGGCGCACGGGUGAGUAACGCGUGGAUAAUCUGCCCUUAUGAUCGGGAUAACAGUUGGAAACGGCUGCUAAUACCGGAUACGCUCAAAAUGAACUUUUUGAGGAAAGAUGGCCUCUGCUUGCAUGCUAUCACGUAAGGAUGAGUCCGCGUCCCAUUAGCUUGUUGGCGGGUAACGGCCCACCAAGGCAACGAUGGGUAGCCGAUUUGAGAGGAUGAUCGGCCACACUGGAACUGAAACACGGUCCAGACUCCUACGGGAGGCAGCAGUGGGGAAUAUUGCGCAAUGGGCGAAAGCCUGACGCAGCGACGCCGCGUGAGGGAUUGAAGGUUUUUCGGAUCGUAAACCUCUGUCAGAAGGGAAGAAACUACGUUGUGCUAAUCAGCAGCGUACUGACGGUACCUUCAAAGGAAGCACCGGCUAACUCCGUGCCAGCCGCAGC